rnacentral:rRNA from 1 species
GAUGAACGCUGGCGGCGUGCCUAAUACAUGCAAGUCGAACGAAACUUCUUUAUCACCGAGUGCUUGCACUCACCGAUAAAGAGUUGAGUGGCGAACGGGUGAGUAACACGUGGGCAACCUGCCCAAAAGAGGGGGAUAACACUUGGAAACAGGUGCUAAUACCGCAUAACCAUAGUUACCGCAUGGUAACUAUGUAAAAGGUGGCUAUACUACCGCUUUUGGAUGGGCCCGCGGCGGAUUAGCUAGUUGGGAGGGUAAAGGCUUACCAAGGCAAUGAUGCGUAGCCGAUUUGAGAGGUUGAUCGGCCACAUUGGGACUGAGACACGGCCCAAACUCCUACGGGAGGCAGCAGUAGGGAAUCUUCCACAAUGGGCGAAAGCCUGAUGGAGCAACGCCGCGUGGGUGAAGAAGGUCUUCGGAUCGUAAAACCCUGUUGUUAGAGAAGAAAGUGCGUGAGAGUAACUGUUCACGUUUCGACGGUAUCUAACCAGAAAGCCACGGCUAACUACGUG